GCUUGUGUAGCUUAAACAUUAAGAGUUUAAUAUUGAAGAUAUUAAGGUAAAUUUAUUUCUCAAGCA
rnacentral:tRNA from 1 species